rnacentral:rRNA from 1 species
CCUACGGGAGGCUGCAGUGGGGAAUUUUGGACAAUGGGCGCAAGCCUGAUCCAGCCAUGCCGCGUGUCUGAAGAAGGCCUUCGGGUUGUAAAGGACUUUUGUCAGGGAAGAAAAGGAGUUGGUUAAUACCCGACUCUGAUGACGGUACCUGAAGAAUAAGCACCGGCUAACUACGUGCCAGCAGCCGCGGUAAUACGUAGGGUGCGAGCGUUAAUCGGAAUUACUGGGCGUAAAGCGAGCGCAGACGGUUUGUUAAGCAGGAUGUGAAAUCCCCGGGCUCAACCUGGGAACUGCGUUCUGAACUGGCAGGCUAGAGUGUGUCAGAGGGGGGUAGAAUUCCACGUGUAGCAGUGAAAUGCGUAGAGAUGUGGAGGAAUACCGAUGGCGAAGGCAGCCCCCUGGGAUAACACUGACGUUCAUGCUCGAAAGCGUGGGUAGCAAACAGGAUUAGAUACCCUGGUAGUC